CACCAAAUAUCUCAAGGUACACCUUGUGGUUGCAGAGAAGAACGAAGCGUUUAACAGUGGUGGACGUACGGCGUUAUUUCCGAUUAAUAGGUGAUAAAAAUAGUUUUGAACUUUACUUGACUCGCCGUCGCCGCCCUCCCAACCGACUCAGUCGACUCGAUCUGUGUAACAUUUGGCUAACGCAACGCUCUCUCUCUCUCUCUCUCUCUCUCUCUCUCUCUCUACCUACCAUAGAUGAACUCACCAAGCCCCACUGAUCCGAGAAAAAAAAAAGCCUCAAUUCUCAAAAUUUCAUCAAAAAGAAAUGAUCUUUAACAAAGUUGAAAAACUUUGCACCAAGCCAAACUUAUGGAAAAGUUUCAAUUUUUCCACAAAACCCAAGAGGGAAAUCCCAGAUCCAACUGAAAGAAUCUGCAAAGCCAUGAUGUCAAAUCCAGUUGCAUCAAUCCAAACAGCACUAGACCAAACUGGAGUUAAGGUUUCAACAGAGAUGGUAGAACAAGUCCUUGUCAGAUUCCAGAAUGCUGGAAUGCUCACCUACAGAUUCUUUGAGUGGGCUGCCAAGCAGAGAGGCUAUGCAUCCCACAGUGUCAGAGCUUACCAUUCAAUGAUUGGGUCACUUGCUAAAAUACGGCAGUAUCAGUUGAUGUGGGAAUUGGUGAGUAGUAUGAGAUCAAAGGAAUUGAUAAAUGUUGAAACUUUUUGUAUUAUUAUGAGAAAAUAUACAAGAGCUCAGAAAAUUGAUGAAGCUCUUUAUACUUUUAAUGUUAUGGAAAGGUAUGGUGUUGAACCAAAUUUGAUUGCUUUUAAUGGGCUUCUUAGUGCUUUGUGUAAAUCUAAGAAUGUUAGGAAAGCUCAAGAGGUUUUUGAUUCUAUGAAGGGUAGGUUUGAGCCAGAUUCUAAAAGUUAUAGUAUUUUGAUUGAUGGGUGGGGGAAAGAACCUAAUUUGCCUAAAGCUAGAGAAAUUUUUAGAGAUAUGAUUGAAUUUGGUAUUAGUGUUGAUAUUGUUACUUAUGGUAUUAUGGUUGAUGUUCUUUGUAAAGCUGGGAGAGUUGAUGAAGCUAUUGGGAUUGUUAGGACAAUGGAUUGUAAUGGUUGUAAACCAACUUCUUUUAUUUAUAGUGUUUUGGUUCAUACUUAUGGGGUUGAGAAUAGGAUUGAAGAUGCUGUUGAUGCUUUUAUGGAGAUGGAAAGUAGGGGUGUUGAAGCUGAUGUUGUUGUUUAUAAUGCUUUGAUUGGUGCUUUUAUUAAGGUUGAUCGGUUUAAGAAUGCUUAUAGGGUGUUGAAUGAUAUGGAUUCGAAAGGGGUUAUGCCUAAUUCGAGGACUUGUAAUGUGAUGUUAAAUGGUUUGAUCGGUAGAGGGAAGACUGAAGAGGCGUUUAAGGUGUUUAGGAGGAUGAUUAAAGUGUGUGAGGCGGAUUCAGACACGUAUACGAUGAUGAUAAAGAUGUUUUGUGAGAAGGAUGAGAUUGAGAUGGCUUUGAAAGUGUGGAAAUACAUGAAGUUGAAGAGGUUUGUUCCGAGUAUGCAUACUUUUUCGGUUUUGAUUAAUGGGUUGUGUGAGAAGGGUGAUGCUACUCAAGCUUGUGUUUUAAUGGAGGAGAUGAUAGAGAAGGGAAUUAGACCUUCUGGUGUGACUAUAGGGAGGUUGAGACAGUUGUUGGUUAAGGAAGGAAGAGAUGAUGUUCUCAAAUUUCUUCAGCAAAAGAUGAAUCUUAUGGUUAAAGAGCCUCUCUGUGAUUGAGGGAAUGAGAGGUCCUCGAAAUCUCGAGGUAUGGAAGAUGGGCAUUGUCAACUAUUUGGAAGCUCAUAAACUGCAGGACAAACUGUGUGCAGGUUUUCAAAAUAACAGUCAAGAAAUUUGACUUUGGUUGGAAAUUAUCAGAAGAAGAAAGAUUUGCCAAAGGAAAACAGGGAAGUUUCCUAUGAAGAUGAUGAUGUGGAUUUCAUUUCCACAGCCAACUUUAGCUGUACUUGUCAAACUCAUUAUGCUUUUGGACAAGUCAGAGAAUAUUAUACUUAACUUUUGCAUCACAUGAUCAGCAGCUACUACUACUACUACUAAGUUCUAAAGAAUAAGCAGAACAAACAAGGAACAGGUAAAAUAUCUAAUCAUGAAUACUUUAGUAUUUCCAACUCUUAAUAAUUAUGCUUCUACUAUGAAUAGUCAGAAACAUAGGAUUUUUCUGUCAUUUUGUCACCAGCCUGUAGAAAAGUUUUCAUCUGUCAUAGUAAAACACUAAGUAACUUUUUCAGCAAGAAACUGUUUGACUAAACUAGUUGUUGGUUCCAAAUCUUGUCAGCAAGAAAAAUUAGUUAUAUAUUGAGCUAAUAUCUAUAUAUUAAGCUUACCCUUUAGCUUAAAAAUUUCACAUAACAUGUAAUGUAUACUCUCACUUUUUUUAGAUAAUAGAACACUUCAUUACUAUCUGCUUUUUCUUCUUAUUGCCCGAUCUCAGCCAUGAAAACGAUUCACAUACAUCUGGUUUUGUUCUUUGUCUUGAUUCUCAUGCAAACUCUAGUGACUUCUUUUUCUUCAUUGUCACUUCUCGAAGAGAGACGAAUUCACACAAGAGAUAGAAACCAACACAGAAGAUUGCUGCUCGUUUUAUCAGCUUCAAAUCCGAAAGAGUUGAAUAAAAGGACAUUGGAGGAUCCUCUGAGAUCUGUUGAGACAAGUUUAAAAGCAGCACCUUCUAGUGAAUCCAAUCCAAUUCAUAACAAGUAACUAGGAUCGAUACAUGAUUAGAGAUCUCGAAAGGAUAGAGAGACUGGUAUCUCUUUCUCUUACCCGAAAUUUUGCAGUUUCUGUACUUCGUUUUUCUGUUGAUAUAGGUAGGAGAAUCAGAUCUCUAUACAUUUUUUUUCAUUUUUAAUUUGUUUAUUUAAAUAGUUUGGUUUAUAUUUCUGUAGUUCUUUAAUUUUAGUAUUAGAUUCACAAAAGCAUGAGAAAACUGUAACUGAAAUCAAAGAUUACAAUGUUAUCAUUUUGUUAGUGCU